UACGUAGGGUGCGAGCGUUAAUCGGAAUUACUGGGCGUAAAGCGUGCGCAGGCGGUUUUGUAAGCCAGAUGUGAAAUCCCCGGGCUUAACCUGGGAAUGGCAUUUGGGACUGCAAGGCUUGAGUGCGGCAGAGGAGACUGGAAUCCCUGGUGUAGCAGUGAAAUGCGUAGAUAUCAGGAGGAACACCGAUGGCGAAGGCAGGUCUCUGGGCUGACACUGACGCUCAUGCACGAAAGCGUGGGGAGCAAACAGG
rnacentral:rRNA from 1 species